CUUGCUAAGUUUGAUGGCGACCGGCGCACGGGUGAGUAACACGUAUCCAACCCGCCGAUGACUCGGGGAUAGCCUUUCGAAAGAAAGAUUAAUACCCGAUGGCAUAGUUCUUCCGCAUGGUAGAACUAUUAAAGAAUUUCGGUCAUCGAUGGGGAUGCGUUCCAUUAGGUUGUUGGCGGGGUAACGGCCCACCAAGCCUUCGAUGGAUAGGGGUUCUGAGAGGAAGGUCCCCCACAUUGGAACUGAGACACGGUCCAAACUCCUACGGGAGGCAGCAUG
rnacentral:rRNA from 1 species